GACGAACGCUGGCGGCGUGCCUAAUACAUGCAAGUCGAACGCAGUGGGGACGGGUGAGUAACACGUGGGUAACCUCCCAUCAGAGGGGAUAACACUUGGAAACAGGUGCUAAACCGAUACUGAUGGAUGGACCCGCGGUUCAUUAGCUAGUUGGUGAGGUAACGGCUCACCAAGGCCACGAUGCAGAGCCGAACUGAGAGGGUGAUCGGCCACACUGGGACUGAGAAACGGCAGAGAGUCCUACGAGAGGCAGCAGUAGGGAAUCUUCGGCAAUGGAAGAAAGUCUGACAGAGCAACGCCGAGUGAGUGAAGAAGGUUGUCGGAUCGUAAAACUCUGUUGUUAGAGAAGCGGUAUCUAACCAGAAAGCCACGGCUAACUACGUGCCAGCAGCCGCGGUAAUUC
rnacentral:rRNA from 1 species